rnacentral:rRNA from 1 species
AGUGAACGCUGGCGGUAGGCCUAACACAUGCAAGUCGAACGGCAGCACGGUAAGAGCUUGCUCUUAUGGGUGGCGAGUGGCGGACGGGUGAGGAAUACAUCGGAAUCUACCUUUUGGUGGGGGAUAACGUAGGGAAACUUACGCUAAUACCGCAUACGCUUCGGGGGAAAGCCGGGGACCAGCAAUGGCCUGGCGCUGAUAGAUGAGCCGAUGUCGGAUUAGCUAGUUGGUGAGGUAAUGGCUCACCAAGGCGACGAUCCGUAGCUGGUCUGAGAGGAUGAUCAGCCACACUGGAACUGAGACACGGUCCAGACUCUACGGGAGGCSAGCAGUGGGGAAUAUUGGACAAUGGGCGCAAGCCUGAUCCAGCCAUACCGCGUGGGUGAAGAAGGCUUCGGGUUGUAAACUGCUUUUGUACGGAACGAAACGGGUUCUCUCUAAUACAGGGGGCUAAUGWACGGUACCGUAAGAAUAAGCACCGGCUAACUACGUGC